UACGUAGGGUGCAAGCGUUGUUCGGAAUUAUUGGGCGUAAAGCGCGUGUAGGCGGCUUAUUAAGUCUGAUGUGAAAGCCCGGGGCUUAACCCCGGAAGUGCAUUGGAAACUGGUAAGCUAGAGGGCGAGAGAGGUAAGUGGAAUUCCUGGUGUAGGGGUGAAAUCCGUAGAUAUCAGGAGGAACAUCGAAAGCGAAGGCAGCUUACUGGCUCGUUUCUGACGCUGAGACGCGAAAGCGUGGGUAGCCAACGGG
rnacentral:rRNA from 1 species